AUGCUCACUUUGGCAGCAUAUACACUAACACUGGAACGCUGCAGAGAAGAUUCGUUUGGCCCCUGAGCAAGGAUGACGUGCAAAUUCACAAAGCGUUCCAUGAAAAA
ensembl:snRNA U6 U6 spliceosomal RNA